AUGCCAGAACUGCGCAGCAGUACUCCCCAAGCACGUCUGAGGUUCAGGAAGCUUGAUGAUCAACAAGCAGAGCCGGCUGUGAAACCGGUGCCACCUGCUCCACAGAGAGCAGGGAAGAGCGUUCAUAUACCUGCUGCCAGGGGCAGAAAGGGUGCUCCUUGGAGAAGAGUGGUGCCGGCACCAAGACGUGCAAGAAAGGGGGCGGAAGUUGUUGACUUGGAUGCUAACCUGGGUUCUGAACACCUCCCUAAAGCUGUUGCCAUACAUGCAGUUGUUUGUGAAUCCAAGGACCCUGCUUUGAACAAGGUUGUUCAGUGUGUCGGCAAUAAAGGUUUGAGAAUGGAUGGUGAAAGUGCUGAAAAGCUUGUCGGCGCUGAAGACGAUUCAAGAAUAGCACCAAUCCCGGAGAGGGUUCACGUAGGUAAUUCUCCUGUGUAUAUAACUGACAGGAAACUAGGUAAAGGUGGCUUUGGUCAAGUGUAUGUUGGUAGAAGGGUAUCUGGUGGGACUGCCCGCACUGGUCCUGAUGCAUAUGAGGUUGCAUUGAAGUUUGAGCACCGGAGUAGUAAAGGGUGCAAUUUUGCACCCCCAUAUGAGUGGCAAGUUUAUCAGACUCUCAACGGCUGCUAUGGUGUACCGGCAGUCCACUAUAAGGGCCGGCAGGGCGACUACUAUAUCCUUGUAAUGGAUAUCCUUGGUCCCAGUCUUUGGGAUGUAUGGAAUUCGCUGGGACAAGAGAUGUCUCCACAUAUGGCUGCUUGCAUUGCUGUAGAAGCCAUAUCAAUUCUUGAGAAGUUUCAUUCCAAAGGGUUUGUUCAUGGUGAUGUGAAACCAGAGAACUUUCUGCUUGGUCUGCCUGGAUCACCUGAGGAGAAGAAGCUUUUCCUUAUUGAUCUUGGUUUAGCAUCAAAGUGGAGAGAUUCGUCAGGUCAACAUGUUGAUUAUGAUCAAAGGGGGACAAUUAGAUAUGCAAGUGCUCAUGCUCAUCUAGGUCGUACAGGUAGUAGGAGGGAUGAUUUAGAGUCAUUGGCAUACACCCUUAUAUUUUUGAUAAAAGGAAGAUUGCCUUGGCAAGGCUACCAGGGAGAUACCAAGAGUUUCCUUGUUUGCAAGAAAAAAAUGGUUACCUCUCCGGAUAUGCUAUGCAGUUUCUGCCCACCUCCGUUCAAACAGUUUCUUGAGUCUGUCACAAAUAUGAAAUUUGAUGAAGAGCCAAAUUACGCCAAACUUAUUUCUCUCUUUGAAAGUUUGAUUGAAUCACCUGCAUCAAGGCCCAUCAGAAUUGAUGGGGCCCUUAAGGUGGGGCAAAAACGUGGAAGGCUACUUGUAAAUCAUGAAGAAGAUGAUCAGCCUAAGAAGAAAGUUAGAUUAGGGAGCCCAGCAUCACAGUGGAUUUCAGUUUACAAUGCCAGGCGCCCUAUGAAGCAGCGGUAUCAUUACAAUGUGGCUGACAACAGGCUUCAACAGCAUAUAGAAAAGGGUAAUGAGGAUGGUCUAUACAUCAGUUGUGUGGCUUCUUCAGCAAACCAUGGCCGUAUGGUGCUUCUCUCCGGGAUGGAGUAG
rnacentral:rRNA from 1 species